rnacentral:rRNA from 1 species
UACGUAGGGGGCAAGCGUUGUCCGGAAUCAUUGGGCGUAAAGAGCUCGUAGGCGGCUCGGUAAGUCGGGUGUGAAACCCCCAGGCUCAACCUGGGGACGCCACCCGAUACUGCUGUGGCUAGAGUCCAGUAGGGGAGUGUGGAAUUCCCGGUGUAGCGGUGAAAUGCGCAGAUAUCGGGAGGAACACCAGCGGCGAAGGCGGCACUCUGGGCUGGAACUGACGCUGAGGAGCGAAAGCGUGGGUAGCAAACAGG